rnacentral:tRNA from 2 species
GCGCCAGUAGCUCAGCUGGAUAGAGCGUCGGCCUCCGGAGCCGAAGGCCACAGGUUCGAAUCCUGUCUGGCGUA